ensembl:lncRNA
GAAGGAAGGAAGGAAGGAAGGAAGGAAGGAAGGAAGGAAGGAAGGAAGGAAGGAAGGAAGGAAGGAAGGAAGGAAGGAAGGAAGGAAGGAAGGGGAGUUGAGUAAAGGGAGGGAGCGAAGGGGGUAGGGAGGGAGUUAGUUGAGUAAAGGGUUGCAUAUCAGAUUUAGGGGAAUAGUAGAAUGAGGAGUUAGAGGGAGGACAAUACAGAUGUAACCAGUCAUUUGAAUGUGAAGUUUGAAGGCUAGCUGAGUUUCUAUUUUACCAGGCAGGGAUGGCCAUUAUCUUAAACAAAACAAACUGGCAGCAUUUCUGCUUCUACUGUGUUUUUGUGAGUAUACAACAUAUCUUAUUUAGGCUGGUUUGUGGUACAGUAACAUGGAGGUGCUGUACUCUCACAUUCCAUACCUUGUUUAAGUCACUAGGAUCUAAACUUGUACUUUUAUGACAAACUACAAACAAAUACACAACAAUAACCCCUUGCUUCUAAGUGAAACAUACAGUAUCAAAAAAUAUGGUGCAAUAAUGGACAACUCUUUAAUAUAGUUUUCUGGUAUUGAACAUCAGCUAAAUGUAACAGUGACUUGAUUCUUGUACAAUUAAUGUAGUUAGAAAGGUUAUAUUAACUACAUAUAUUGUUCUUUCUAAUAAAUGUAAAGUGAUCUUUAACUUCAAAUAUAUACAUCACUGUGUCAACCUUAUAGCUUUAUAGUCCUUCUGGCAGUUGACAACAAAAAGUCCUCUAAUGUGAGAUUAGUCGUCAUAAAGAUGGGACAUAAGACAUCACACUAUAUAUUCCUCCAUUAUUGUAAUUAGACAUCAUGACAAAAUGGAGAAUUAGACCGUUGAACAUCCUAGGCCCCAGUAUGUCAACAGAAAAUGAAGACCAACCGGAUCCGGGCUUUGGUCCAACUCUCUAUUUUGAUGCAACAUACUCAGACAGAAUCCCUUUAGCUAAAAGUGGUGCCAGUCCUACAGUGGCCUUCCCAUUAAAGAGAAAGAGUUUCAGUUCUGAAAAAAAGUUUGUGUUAGGACAUACAACACAAAAAGCUUUGUGAAAGUGUUAAACAAAGGCUUAGAUUUUUUUUUACAUGGGGAGAGUGUUAUUUCAAUCCAACAGUUUGCUUGAAACCCCUUAAAGCUUUACAGAAGCACUGCAUGCUUUCGGACAUGCUUGGGAAUGAAAUGCUUUGCUCAGGUACUUUCCAUGCUAUUGGCGAUAAAGAAAAAAAAUAUAUAUAUAUUGGCUCUCACAAGUAAAAGUGAAAACACUUAGAAAUCAGGUCAAUGACUAAACUCUAAAUGCAACCAGUCACCACCACUGAAAGCUUGUUCCUAAUGGAAGACAUACUAAACAGCAUUUUCACGAGAGGAAACACCAACAACAAAAAACACAGAAUUUAUAACACUGUUGUGAUUCACCCCAAAAUAAAAACUUAUUUGCACUUCAUUGAAUGAAAUAUGUUAGGGGUUAUCAACACUUUGCGGGUUGAAAGGCACUUGGUUUAAUGCAUGCUGAUUUUCUAAGUAAUUUGCAAUAGUAGGCCCACAUUAUAUAUAUGAUAUAUAUAUAUGAAACACUUGGACACAAAAAGAAUGGCACUUCAGAGAGGUCAUGCUAUAUGUUACUGAUAUGCAACUGCACCUUGCUCAUUCUAAACAUCUAUUAUAUAACAAAACAACUCAGGUCUCCUUAUUAAGGAUCAUGUCAAAGUUGGGGAAAUUAAAAGGCAGAGCUUUGGCAUAUAAGAACAUGAAUGGAGAAGUGAUAUCCUUAUUAUCCAGGAGAAUUAGUUAGGGGCAUUGGUUAGAGGUAGUGUCAUAGGUCAUGUAGCAUUGGUUAGAGUUAAUGUCAUAGGUCAUGUAGCAUUGGUUAGAGGUAAUGUCAUAGGUCAUGUAGCAUUGGUUAGAGGUAAUGUCAUAGGUCAUGUAGCAUUGGUUAGAGGUAAUGUCAUAGGUCAUGUAGCAUUGGUUAGAGGUAAUGUCAUAGGUCAUGUAGCACCUUGAGAAAAUGUUGUUUUUGUAAAUAAACUAGUAAAUAAAUAUGUCUCUCUCUAUAUAUUUGCAGUACUUUAGCACAGAAGAAAAUAGGAUGUCAUGUAAAUGCUAUUUUUUUUAAUUGUGAUUAUUUCGCACAGUUGUAUCUAACUAGGUCCACAUUGUGGUGGUCUAUGCUGGAAUAAUAAAUUGCUCGUAAAUCCUGUUCUUUUCUGUUUCCUGUGUGUGACAUUAAUCAAAGUUUAACUUCAAUUCCUCUUACAUGAUUCCAUAUGUGUUAUUUCAUAGUUUUGAUGUCUUCAAUAUUAUUCUACAAUGUAGAAAAUAGUAAAAAUAAAGAAAAACCCUUGAAUGAGUAGGGGUGUCCAAACUUUUGACUGGUACUGUAUAUUUUUAGACUGCAAAUUGACCGCAAGAAGCCCAAACAGCUAUAAUAUUAGACUAAAACCUUGAUUACAUUUGGGGACAUUGCACUGCGUAGGGUGCUGGUUUUUUGGAUGUUAAAACGGGUUAAAACGGGUGCUCAUUCAAAAUCCCAUGACACUUAU